UACGUAGGGGGCGAGCGUUGUCCGGAAUCAUUGGGCGUAAAGCGCGUGUAGGCGGCUCGGUAAGUCCGGUGUGAAACCUUGGGGCUCAACCCCAAGCCUGCACUGGAUACUGUCGAGCUCGAGUCCGGGAGGGGAGAGCGGAAUUCCUAGUGUAGCGGUGAAAUGCGCAGAUAUUAGGAAGAACACCGGUGGCGAAGGCGGCUCUCUGGGCCACUACUGACGCUGAGAAGCGAAAGCAUGGGGAGCGAGCAGG
rnacentral:rRNA from 1 species